AGUGAACGCUGGCGGCGUGCUUAACACAUGCAAGUCGAACGAGAAACGGAUUUAGCUUGCUAAAUUGCAGUCUAAGUGGCGCACGGGUGAGUAAUGUAUAGAUAAUAUGCCUUUUACUAAGGGAUAACAGUUGGAAACGGCUGCUAAUACCUUAUAUGCCUUUAAUACAUAAGUAUGCAAGGGAAAGAUUUAUUGGUAAAAGAUUAGUCUGUAUUGUAUCAGUUAGUUGGUGAGGUAAUGGCUCACCAAGACUAUGACGCAUAACUGGUUUGAGAGGAUGAUCAGUCACACUGGAACUGAGACACGGUCCAGACUCCUACGGGAGGCAGCAGUGGGGAAUAUUGCACAAUGGGGGAAACCCUGAUGCAGCAACGCCGCGUGGAGGAUGACACAUUUCGGUGCGUAAACUCCUUUUAUAUAGGAAGAUAAUGACGGUACUAUAUGAAUAAGCACCGGCUAACUCCGUGCCAGCCGCCGCAGUAA
rnacentral:rRNA from 1 species